rnacentral:snRNA from 1 species
AUAAUUUUUUGUAAAAAAAAAAUCUGUUCUUAUCAGUUUAAUAUCUGAUCUACAUUAAAUGGAUUUUUCGAACAGGAAGUCGGAAAUGGGGCUUGCUCCGUCCGCUCCACGCAUCGACCCGGUAUUGCAGUACCUCCGGGAAUGGUGCAACACUU